GUGGGGAAUAUUGGACAAUGGGGGGAACCCUGAUCCAGCCAUGCCGCGUGUGUGAAGAAGGCCUUUUGGUUGUAAAGCACUUUAAGCGAGGAGGAGGCUACCGAGAUUAAUACUCUUGGAUAGUGGACGUUACUCGCAGAAUAAGCACCGGCUAACUCUGUGCCAGCAGCCGCGGUAAUACAGAGGGUGCAAGCGUUAAUCGGAUUUACUGGGCGUAAAGCGCGCGUAGGUGGCCAAUUAAGUCAAAUGUGAAAUCCCCGAGCUUAACUUGGGAAUUGCAUUCGAUACUGGGUGGCUAGAGUAUGGGAGAGGAUGGUAGAAUUCCAGGUGUAGCGGUGAAAUGCGUAGAGAUCUGGAGGAAUACCGAUGGCGAAGGCAGCCAUCUGGCCUAAUACUGACACUGAGGUGCGAAAGCAUGGGGAGCAAACAGGAUUAGAUACCCCAGUAGUCC
rnacentral:rRNA from 1 species